UUUUCUUCUUUUCCUUCUUUUCUUUUGUUGUCUGCACCUUUUUCCUUUCUUUUCGAAAACUCUCAUUCCUCUUCUUCUUCUUCUUCUACCCGUGACAACCACACACACACACAGACCCACAGCUACACCUACUCGAGGAAAUCAUCACCAUCAUCGCCAUUGAACUGCUUCUCUCUCUCUCUUUCUCUCUCCCCUGCUCGCGGUGCCGGAGUACGCCGAGCACCUCCGGCGAGUUUUGGUUGUUUUUCCGGUUGGGUUUUGGAGGGUUUUUGGCACGGGUGAGUGCACACCCAAAAUUUCCGGCGAGUUGGGUGAGGUUCGAAGGUAUUUCCGGCCACCAUAAGCCGUUUCACGGCGAACCCAAGGGGCGAUUAUCUGCGGCGUUUCCUUCUUCGCUAGAUGGCGUGGCUUUUUGACGGCAAAGUACUGUGAGUGGACCCC